rnacentral:rRNA from 1 species
GCUCUAGUAACGGCGAGUGAAGCAGCAAUAGCUCAAAUUUGAAAUCUGGCGUCUUCGGCGUCCGAGUUGUAAUUUGUAGAGGAUGCUUCUGAGUAACCACCGACCUAAGUUCCUUGGAACAGGACGUCAUAGAGGGUGAGAAUCCCGUAUGCGGUCGGAAAGGUGCUCUACACGUAGCUCCUUCGACGAGUCGAGUUGUUUGGGAAUGCAGCUCUAAAUGGGAGGUAAAUUUCUUCUAAAGCUAAAUAUUGGCCAGAGACCGAUAGCGCACAAGUAGAGUGAUCGAAAGAUGAAAAGCACUUUGGAAAGAGAGUUAAAAAGCACGUGAAAUUGUUAAAAGGGAAGGGAUUGCAACCAGACUUGCUCGCGGUGUUCCGCCGGUCUUCUGACCGGUCUACUCGCCGCGUUGCAGGCCAGCAUCGUCUGGUGCCGCUGGAUAAGACUUGAGGAAUGUAGCUCCCUCGGGAGUGUUAUAGCCUCUUGUGAUGCAGCGAGCGCCGGGCGAGGUCCGCGCUUCGGCUAGGAUGCUGGCGUAAUGGUUGUAAUCCGCCCGUCUUGAAACACGGACCAAGGAGUCUAACAUCUAUGCGAGUGUUCGGGUGUCAAACCCCUACGCGUAAUGAAAGUGAACGGAGGUGAGAACCGCAAGGUGCAUCAUCGACCGAUCCUGAUGUCUUCGGAUGGAUUUGAGUAUGAGCAUGGCUGUUGGGACCCGAAAGAUGGUGAACUAUGCCUGAAUAGGGUGAAGCCAGAGGAAACUCUGGUGGAGGCUCGCAGCGGUUCUGACGUGCAAAUCGAUCGUCAAAUUUGGGUAUAGGGCGAAAGA